ACUGUAUGAAAACUUUUUCCUGAUUUUUUUUCCUCCUCUCUGCUUCAACUCUGACUAAGCUCUGACUAUUCUAUCACAGGAGAUGUGAUAGAAUAAAGAGAACCUGAGACUAAGCCCCCAGUAUUCCUUCUAGACACACACAUGUACACACACACAUUCACUGCACACUUCUCACAUUCAGCAAGCCAAAUUGGGAAGGAGUAGGAUGCUAGACAGGAGAAACCCUAAUUUUAAUGAAGUUCAGAGCUGGUUUUUCAAACACAGUCAUUGACACAUCAAUUUUGAACUAAGAAUAUUAUUAUAACUGAGAUUACUAAAAGAGUUACCAUUUGGAAUAAUACUCAGCUAAAUUAUGGAUGCUUUGUAAGAUGUUAGUCAAGGGCAAAUAAAUAGUUGGUAGUAGAGAGAAAAGAGGAGAGGAGCAGAGAAAAUCAUAGUGGUUGUUUUCUUUUGUUAUCUAUGAGGCCUGCUUUUUCAGCAUUUGGGUCCCAUAUUCCCCUGCACAAUCAUGGAAUUUUCAUUUUUUUUAUGAAAAUUGUUUCAAAAUUCCGGGAUGCAGUCUAUAAACUGCAUGUAGUGUACAUCACAGACAUCCUAAUUUUCCUAACUAGGAAAAUUUUUCCUAGUUAGGAAAAUUUUUCCUAAUUUUCCUAGUUUUUCUAAUUCCUUAAACAAUACCAUUUAAACAAAAUUAUGCGAAGUUUUCUAAUACAGAAUAACCUGCCUGGGACUUCUGGAAGAUGGCAUGAUAUGAUGAUUUGUUUAUUUAUUUACUUUUAUUUUUUUUUAAAUCACUUUAUACACCACUUCCUAUAGCUAGCAGUGUGGGAAAGGUGAAUAGGUCUAAAGUUAUUUUCUUCUCUGUUUCAGCAUUUUUGAAAGGCACAAAAGGAAAUAAGACCAAUCCAGAAGUUUAUGAUUUCUCUCCAAUUUUUCCUUUUUCCCACAUGAGCCUAGCCUGGAAGUGCACAGACACACUAGGGCAUUAUCCCACUGUGUGGGAGAAACAUCUGCAGAGUGCGCCAUGGACCACCAGACUUGGAGCAAGAAAGAAGUAUGUGGGGGCGGAGGCGGCAGACAAUAAAAGAAAAACUAGGCGCUGGUUGGGCCCAAACAUUCAACAGAAUCGCCUAACCUUCAGGUUACCUUUAGUGUUAUAUAAGACGUCUAAAGAGCAAUAACAUUCAUAUGAAAAACAUUUUUUUAAAUGGUGGUGAAAUAGAAUUCAUAGCAUACCCUUCAAAAAAAUUUUUUUUCUGCGAGUCUGGGAAAUGUUAGCAUUCUGCUUUACACAUCACCCUCUAGAGAGCCCAAGCUGGGUGGUUUUCAUGUGCUCCUUUCUCCUCUUCCCUUGCAGCCACUUACUAAGGUGGCCAUGCAAAAGCCCAGGAGCUACAGGCCUCAGCUCAAACCAGAAGGAAGCACAGUGAAGACAGAUGAAUUCUGACCAGGAACAAAAUCUAGACAAAUGAAGGUAUCUAAGUGAAGAUGGUAUUGAUAAAGUAAUCAGCUUUUUCAAGAAAAGUGGCUCAUCUAAAGCAUGAAAUAAGCAUUUUACAAUAUUGGAAAUUGAAUCAUCAGAAUAUCAUGACAGCUAAUAAAGAAAAUGAACACUUGCCAACUUCAAACACCUGGUCUGCUGUUCUCAUUCACCCUGCAGAAUGGAUGGACACUAUGAGACCCAUUUACUUGGAUCUACUUCCAACUGGAACAGGAAUAGCAACAUGUGCUCUCUACGUUCCUACAUUGUGCAAAGGGUCCUUUCUGAUCAUAAGAAGGAAACAUUCUUUCAUAUGUUCGGUUCUCAACCUGAAAAUUUUGCACAUUUACAUACUUAUGGGCAAAACUGAAUCUGGUACAGAUCAGAAACUUGCAUAUGGUUUGUCUCGUAGUCCAUCUGGGUUUCAGUCCUCAUCCUCAUGCAAAAGAGCAAAGCCUGAAGGAACAAGAUGAUGGACUUCUUUUUGAUGGCUCAACCACAGCAAAAGGACAUGUAAACAAUAGAAUGUAUGAGAUUUUUUUUUUCAUUUCUCUCUUGAUCACAUAAGUAGCUGUAAGUACUAAAGUAGGCAAUGAGAUAAAGGUAAAUUUAGAUUGCUAUAAUGUAAUAAAUGGAAAUGCCAGGCAUGUCAUGAAUUGUGUUAACCGUUUCUCCCAACACCAUUACAUGUUAGGACUCCAUGCAUACUGACAAUAUAGGAUUAAAUACAAAUUUCAGAAUGAAUCUUUCCUAUUUUUAACAUAAUUCCCAAUUCCCAAUUCUCUCCAAACCCAAAUCCUAUAUGUUAUUGGUGGAUUAAUUUGCAAGCUCUGUUAACUAAUAUUUCUUCUACACAUGAUGCUUUAUUUAAAGUUCUACAAUAAUGAAAAUGGAGUGGAUAAAAAGGACUACUCAUUAUUAUUUUUAAAAAAUAUAUUAUAGAUUUCAAAAAUCAAAAUGCCACAUGAACAAAGGUAAACGUUUUUGAACAUAAAAUCAUUUUCAAAUUAACAGUAGGAAAUGGAAACUCAAGAUGGAGGUUAGGUCUUAUACAGAGAAGAGGCAGAGUAACAGAACCACAAAGAAAUAAAGGCACUAGGGACUAUUUUGAAAACAGUCAGAUGUUUCCUUAUUGUUUCAUUCCUUUUCAAGCACCAUAAUCCCCAAAAUACUAAUCACAUGAACUCCUCCCACCCAAAAAAUAAUAAUCAUUCCGUGUUUAAAAACUACUGUCCCUUGUUGGACUGCUUAGACCAGCUAUAGCAAUUCUAAUUACAUGAAGCUGGAAAGAAGGGGGGAAAAUUCUCCUUUGUGCUGCAAGACAGUCAUAUUAAACAACUAUCUCUUUUCUUUUUUGAUACUGACAUCUAUUGGAAAACAGGAGAAUAUGUGUAUGUUGUUUUUUGAAAUCAAAUAAAAACCAAUUAAAUUUAAGAUCUCCAUUUAAAUUAAAAAUUAAGAAUGUAUAAUAGAUUGACAUUUUAAUUAUACCAUUCUCUAACUGUCCUAAAACACAAUUAUAUGAGUUUUCGAUCACAUAGACCUCUUUUAAAGCCAGUAGCUGUUAUUGCAAAUAUAAUUAUAUAUCCUUUAAAACUCAUGCACUCUAGGUAAUGUGCUCAUGAUUCAAAAUAACAAUUGAACAUUAGCUAGUGAAAGAAAAAGAGUCAAGUUUGAUUUAAGCUCAAGUGUUCUCCUCAAUUCUCUGAAGAUUUUUCUUUCUACCAUUAUGAAUUGAUAACGUAAAGAAAAGACAGUUAUUUGAAAUACUUUGAUUGAUUCAAUUCUAUCCUUUUAAAAAAUAUUUGGGGAAUAAUUUAACUAAGGUUUUCCAAAUCUGUUUGGCACUUAGGCAAAAAUAUAUAUGACAAUAAAGCAUGUAUGCUAAUUGUGUAACUAGUACCUAAAUCUCUCUUCAAAUUAAGUAGAUCUACUUACUAAACCUACAUGGAGUAUUUCAUGUCCAAAGAAACUCUCAGACUUUCAUGGAGAUACAGAACACACAACCUGUUUGAUAAAACAGCCUGUGAAGUGUACAUUGAGCUUGGUUACAGACUUUACCAAAUAUCUCACUAUUUUUCUUUGAGCUUUUACCAAUAUAAGAAAAGCAAGAAUAUGAUGGAGAAAAGUAUUUUUCCUAAAAUUUAACUUCUAAAAUGUCAGUGCUUGUUUUUUUUACAAAAAUUAUAAAAUACAUAAUUGUGAUACAAAUGCAAGUAAUAUGUAGAAUAAGAAGUGAUAAUUCCCCCCUUGCCCUCACUUACUAUUAUUACUCUCCACCUCCUCUCAGGUAAAAAAUGUUAACUUUAAUAAAUUUUAAAAUUUUGAAAAGGAAGUAAGAAUCCCCUAACUGCUACUACUGAGGAACACUUAACCUCAAUAUUUUAUGAACAUCAUUUCAGACUUCUCACAUUUAUAAAGUAAGAUAUGAAUAAGAAAGAUAAAAUGUGACCAUACUCUUCACAUUAUUUUACAUUGGAAAUGUAUUAAAGUUAACAUGAAAUUCACAGAAUUAAAAUAAAUUGAAAUAAAGCCAAAGGAGUCAUUGAACUUUAGAUAAAUGUUUCUUUACAUUAAAAAUAUUAAUUCCUAAAGGUAGAUCCCACUAAACAUGACAGGAAAUAUAUGGAGAUAAUAUAAAAGAAAUAUAAAUAAAAACAUAAUUUCCUUAUAUUACAUUUUCAAAUUUAUAGUGCCUAUUGGCUCUUUGCUGUGCAAAAUAAAGGGUUCUGUAACUUAACUCCCAACUCCCUUUUCAAUCUUUAUUCCAUUUUUUAGCCUUAUUAAUUAGUUGUACAUAGUUAUGUUUCUAUAAUUGUAAGCACUACAAUUUAGAAGUUUUACUCUUAUCUAUUUUUAUUUCAUCUAUAUAUUUUUAUUAUGUUAUAUUCACAUUUCUUUGCCCACUGUAUUCAUAGUUUGCUUCUGAAUCUAUGGGUGAUGAUUUAUGGGCCAGACAUAUAGCUUAAUUUCAAUUUGUGUUACAGGGAAUAAAUCUUACUCAUAUUGAUAUAAGAAAUCAAUGUGACUUUAAAUUUUUUUAGAACCAAUUCUAUAUGAAAGAUCAAGAAAUGGAACAUUUAUUCCGUAAAAAUAGAUGACAUUAUGGUCUUCCUAUAAAAUGGCAUAUGCCAUGCUUUUUCUUUGGUUUUAUUUGUUUUGUUGUUGUUGUUGUUUAUUUUUAUAAAAAUCUAUACAGGGGUAUCGUUUCAACAGGCUCCUACAUAUUCUUGCCCUCUCCAGAGUGAUAUAAAGAACUUUAUUCAAUAGAAUGAAAGUGAAAAAAAACAAAAUUCAGUAAAAAAAUUAUAGAUACAUA